rnacentral:rRNA from 1 species
GACGAACCGUGCGAACGUUGUUCGGAAUCACUGGGCUUAAAGGGCGCGUAGGCGGGUUCGCAAGUCUGUGGUGAAAGCCUCCAGCUUAACUGGAGAAGUGCCGUGGAUACUGCGAAUCUUGAGGAGGGUAGGGGCGUCUGGAACGGUCGGUGGAGCGGUGAAAUGCGUUGAUAUCGACCGGAACUCCGGUGGCGAAGGCGACUCUUUGGCCUGUAACUGACGCUGAGGCGCGAAAGCGUGGGGAGCAAACAGG